UUGUUCUGCAUAUGUAUGUAUGUGUGUAUGUGUACAUACACACACAUACAUAUGUACAUGUACAUAUAUAUGUAUAUGUACACACACACACAUAUAUAUAUGUAUAUGUAUAGAAA
rnacentral:miRNA from 1 species